UGUGCCUGGAGGAUCAUCAAC
rnacentral:miRNA from 1 species